CAUGACAUCUUUUUUCGCAUCAAUUUUUUGACAGAUUGACGAUUUGGCGAUGUCGACGAAAGUACUCUGACAAGCAAAAACAUGUUCUGACUGGAUCCAAGAAUUAGUUAUAAGUGUUGAAAAAAUACAAAAUCAAAUAGGAGCAAAACAAAAUGCCAUACGCCGAGUACCGGUCCAGCAGUGGAAACAUGGUUCGAUGCCAGGCAUGGCACCGAUCUUGUCAUUGUAAAUACUAGCAAUCACAUUUAUCAUCCGAUUUCGGUGGGUGGAUUAGAAGGCGGACGGAAAAUGUCAUGAACCCGGCGGGCUAUGCCGGAAAAUGGAGGGCAAGUAACCGGUCAGCGAUCGUGGAAGCAAUCCUCCUUGCAGAAGAGAAUGAAACGUCAAGUAAUAAAAAGGUAGAGGAGGACGAAAAAAACUCCCGGCAGCGAUCCUGAUCCGCCAAAAAUUGUUAUCAAUGGAACUGAGUGCUUUUUGCUGGACGUGGACCAGCAAGUAGAGAAGGACAAUGAAAUUGCGUUGGUGGUG